AGGCUACAGCUUAGAGAUCAGAAUCUUACGCGCUCGCGAGAAAUGAGUGUUCUAACGGUCUUGACGUACUUUCCACUUUU
ensembl:ncRNA F44C4.11 ncRNA